rnacentral:rRNA from 1 species
UACAGAGGUGUCAAACGUUGUCCGGAAUUAUUGGGCGUAAAGGGUGCGUAGGCGGGUCUUUAAGUCAGGGGUGAAAUCCUGGAGCUCAACUCCAGAACUGCCUUUGAUACUGAGAAGCUUGAGUCCGGGAGAGGUGAGUGGAACUGCGAGUGUAGAGGUGAAAUUCGUAGAUAUUCGCAAGAACACCAGUGGCGAAGGCGGCUUACUGGCCCGAUACUGACACUGAGGCACGAAAGCGUGGGGAGCAAACAGG